rnacentral:rRNA from 1 species
UACAGAGGUGGCAAGCGUUGUUCGGAAUUACUGGGCGUAAAGCGUGCGCAGGCGGCUAUGCAAGACAGAUGUGAAAUCCCCGGGCUCAACCUGGGAACUGCAUUUGUGACUGCAUGGCUAGAGUACGGUAGAGGGGGAUGGAAUUCCGCGUGUAGCAGUGAAAUGCGUAGAUAUGCGGAGGAACACCGAUGGCGAAGGCAAUCCCCUGGACCUGUACUGACGCUCAUGCACGAAAGCGUGGGGAGCAGACAGG